GACGAGCGCUGGCGGCGUGCCUAAUACAUGCAAGUAGAACGCACAGUUUAUACCGUAGCUUGCUACACCAUAGACUGUGAGUUGCGAACGGGUGAGUAACGCGUAGGUAACCUGCCUGGUAGCGGGGGAUAACUAUUGGAAACGAUAGCUAAUACCGCAUAAUAUUAAUUAUUGCAUGAUAAUUAAUUGAAAGGUGCAAUUGCACCACUACCAGAUGGACCUGCGUUGUAUUAGCUAGUAGGUGAGGUAACGGCUCACCUAGGCGACGAUACAUAGCCGACCUGAGAGGGUGAUCGGCCACACUGGGACUGAGACACGGCCCAGACUCCUACGGGAGGCAGCAGUAGGGAAUCUUCGGCAAUGGACGAAAGUCUGACCGAGCAACGCCGCGUGAGUGAAGAAGGUUUUCGGAUCGUAAAGCUCUGUUGUAAGAGAAGAACGGGUGUGAGAGUGGAAAGUUCACACUGUGACGGUAGCUUACCAGAAAGGGACGGCUAACUACGUG
rnacentral:rRNA from 1 species